AUAUAUUUGAUCAUUAGGGUGUCUCAGCCACUGUACUGUUUUAGUUUCCGCCAAUGUUGCAGUGCAGCUCACUACUAGACUGCACCAGCACUGGGCCUGGUUUAGCAAAGACUGAAGGAGAAUAAAAGGAGUGGUUGCAUCGUGGUACAAGGGGGACGAGGGGCCCGGGGACACUGCAGUCGAGUGUUUGGGACUGUAAGGGAGGUUGGCCUUGCCUGAUUCUCACCUGAGCAAUCUCAUUUCACCCCAGGCAUAAAUGGCAUACAGCCCAUUCACUUUUUAUAAGCCACAGAGUAGUAGGUAUUCUCUGGUCGUUUAAGUGUUUGGCCCGACCUUCCUUUCUUAAGCCAUACCAUCUCCCUAGGUGUUAUAACUCAACAGCACCCCCACUCUGUCAGGUCUUUCAUAAAACCUAGCUGUGAUAGUAAGCUUAGGCUUUGUUCUCCCCUCUAUCUUUUCCUGUUCUUAUUUUAUUUUUUCUCUUUAAUUGUUUUUGUUUAUUUUGUUCUGUUCUAUUUGCUGUUCUGUUGUGUUUUGUUUCUUUCAGUUCACAUAAAGGCAGAGCCUAUGAGAGCCAUCAAGGAAAGCUGAAUAACAGAUUGACGACCCAAGCAGCCAGAGUCAUUAGAUGACCCACUUGUCUACCGCCCGUCAAAAUCUUUAUUUAGAUCCAGCGCUCACCCACACAAAUCGGCCCCACCUGGCCAUUCACGGCCAAAGACAAUAGGUGUCUGGCCUACAUCCCAAUAACUGUCUGCACCAGUUAGUCAAAGUCACACCUACAGCGUACAUGAUCACAUACUAUCGUAGCUCGCUAAUUCUGCACGGACUUGCAUUGGCCUUUUUGUGCUGUCUUUCUCUCACCAACAGUGAGCCGCUAUAUCCCGAUCAUCCAGCCCCGCCACACACUGGGAUCAUCUCGAGACCAUGACCAACGCGUCCCUACCCAACGCCACCAGUGACUUACAGCACCUGAGCAGAGAGCAGCAGCACGACGACUUGAACAGGAGUUUCUAGUUCAGAAGGGGGUGAAAGCCCACUGCUCAAGACAUCCCAGUAUCCUAGAAAAAGGGGUGGGAGCCUUUCACACCUACCUGCAGGACAUAGACAUUCUCUUGCAAACUGUGGCCAACGUGACCACAUGGGACAGACUGUAUCUGCUCAGAAUCACGUCCAGCCAUGAUGUGCAGAGUUUCCUAGAUCGGCAACCAGAAACUGUCAAGUCAGACUACCAGCAGCUGUGAUAGGCUUUGAUUAGUGAGUUUUCUGACCCUGAAUCGGACCAAGGGCUCAUCGUCACCAUGGACUUUAAACAGGGCCGACUUGAAACCCCACAGACGUAUUACAACCAACUCCAACAGGCCUACUUCGGUGCAAGGAACGAGCCAGGAAUGGAGGAAGAUUUUAACUUUAGAACCCUGCUCCUCAGAAAUCUGCAUCCUACAGUGAGUCAUCACCUAGUCCUGGCCUGUCCGCGCAGCAUGUCCACAGCUGCGGGACUUAGCCCAUAAGACCUAUGCCAAGCAAAAGACUGCUUCUGAAAAGACUGUAAAAAAUCCAACAAUUUACCCUGUCUCUGAUCACUGUUCAGAACUGGCCUUAGAGGGCGCACAACACCACUACAGUGACAGACUUUUUAAAAGAGACUGAACCUAACACCCAGAUCCCUGCUGACCAGCCACUGACCACAGAACCAGCUAACCCAUCACCAAGUGACAGCAUCACCCAAUCACCUCAGCUGACGGCUGCACAUCCAGAGCAAACCAACCCACUUCAUCACACUGUCAACCAGGACUCCAAGGUACCAUAAAGUGCUGUUUUGGUUGUCUGCCUCCCUAACGAACCACAUGGGACCAGCCCCAACUGCCUAUCUGCACACAAUCCCCAGUACCAAGACUCCUGGGGAAUCUGAUCGAAAAGAGAGUGGCCCGGAAACUCUACCUAGCCAUCACUUUGGAAAAUGACAUGAGAACUGAAGCCCUGGUAGACACGGGAACAGAUCUUUGAUGUCAUCAAACCUCUUUGACAGACACAGAGUUGUAGCUAAGAGACAAAAUCUAACUCUCAGAUCCCAAAAAUGUGAGCUGAAUGUGCAAUCGUACAGCCAAAAUGAGGUCCAACUUGAACAGAUAGCUCCCAUUCACCUAACAAUGGGUCCAAUGAGCCUGGUACACCAUGUGUACAUAUCACUAAUGGACACAUAUCCCCUUCUCAUUGGCAAAGACCUGCUAGAUUGCUUUGUGCCCUUAUUGGACUGCGAGAACCUCUGCCUCUCCAGUCACCCGGAUCACCUGAGCCAGACUGUCAGGUCACAGAGGUCAUGGGAAAUCUCACAGCCAGCCACGGGAACACCAUCUCAGCCCCAGAGCAAGGGUCAAGUUUGCUACUCUGCACUUUCAACUCACCAAAGACUCUGAUUCCUACUGCCCCAAGGUCAUGGCAGACCUGCAGCUGAAAGAUGUAACAACAACAGACAUCAUUCUUGCACUGUGGGCAGACAACUCAGCCAUCAGCCUUGCACUGUUCAAUGCUCUCAUCAAAGGUGCACCUGACCUCUCUUUUGCCAGCAAGUGCACCUGCUUCCCUUUGGACUCUUGUCUGUCAACCAUGGUGACUGACAUUGUUUCAAAUUUGUUUUUCUGUCUUUCAGACAGAAACUCCAAUGUUCUUGCUCAAAGAAAGGCGACAACUCUCGAAGUUCUACCUUUGUUUAUGAAGGAAACGUCUGGAAACAUCCUGAAGACUUGCCUGGACACAGAGCCAGAAGACACUCGCAAGGGGAGAAGAUGAGGAUCUUAACCAUCGUUGAAGAUGACAUUGCCACCAUCCACUCAAACCCAAAUAUAAGGUGCCUCUCUGUAGUACUAUAAGAGCAGAUUGGGCCAGAUAAUGUGCAAGACCUUUGCCACAGCUGUUAAUCUCUUUGGCUUGAUUUAUGCCCUAAAUGUGAACUAUCCUCAAGAAUUAAAAUACACUUUUGAAAAAAUUCAAAAGUAUUUAUUGUUCUUGACCCCCAGCGCUCAGCAAGAGUCUGGCCCUUCAAAAAAAGUAUUAAUGUUCAAGUAGCUGCAAUCCAUAUGGAUAAUCAUAAGGUUGAGCAUUUAUUUAUUCCAGUUUGUAUCCCCCCUCUAAUUUAAUGCAUAAACCUUUUUUUUAAAUAAAUCUUGAAGAGUGGAGUAGAACUUCAUCACCUUCUAAUAUAUGUACCUCAUGCAGACAGAAACUUUGUUUUGCAGAAUUGUCAAUAAAUAAUUUCUGUAAUGAUGGCAAUGUCUUUUGUACUGUGUUGUAUUUACAGUAUGGUUUGUACUCCCUGCAUUUGCAUUCAUAAUGUGAGGGCUAUACAAAUGAGAUAUUUGGUAAAAGUUGAAUCAACUUGAAAAAGUAAGGCAACCGGCUGCAAAAGCUUUUAUGAGUUUACUGAACUUCAGGCCUCUGUAGGUGUGCUUACUUGUUUCUUUGAGUUGGAAUGGUAGUUUGAUGAACUUACUGAGGAAGGUAUAAUCAACUUAAUCAAAUAAAUUUAGUGAACUUUCAAAAAUGAUUUGGCACAACUUCAACUACUGAAGUUGAGUAAACUCAAAAAUGCUUUGCAUCUGGUUGCCUUAUUUUUUAAGUUAACUCAACUUUUUAUUUUUUACAGUGUGGCUCCUACGGCAAUCCAGACCCACAGCUGUAUGCCAAAAUGGUCCAUGUUCCCCCACAUGCAGGUGUUUUCCCUUUCACUUUAGUGACUUCCUGUCCACACCUGUUCAGUGAUCAAGACGAAGACUGAGCUGUUGAUCUGGGAUCUUGCCCAGUGCACAUAAAAGGGCAUCAUUUCUAUUGUGGAAUUAUGUUCAUCCCUUUAGGAAUGCAGCGAUAUUAAAAUUCUGGCUGAUACGAAUAAGCUGAGGCAGUUGUGGCCUAAUGGUUGGAGAGUCAGACUUGUAACCAGAAGGUUGCAGGUUCAAGUCUCAGGGAAUGUAGGUGGGGGGAGUGAAUGAACAGCACUCUCUUCCACUCUCAUUACUCACAACUGAGGUGCCCUUGAACAAGGCACCUAACCCCCAAUCACUCCCCUGGCGCAAAAACUCGGGGUGUGUGAGCACUUGGAUGGGUGAAAUGCAGAGCCCAAAUUCCAAGUAUACUUGGUCACUUUCACUUUUAUAAUUAUUUUCCAUGUUAUGGCCAAUAACUUUUUUACUAUUUUGUCUAUAUAAAUAAAAGAUAAAGCACUAAAAAAAUAAUUUUAAAUGUAACAAGAAUUUAGGUAUCAACUAAUGUACAGUAUGAAAAAUUAUAUUUUAUUCAGUUAUAGUGAGUGUUAGAUGACAGCAAACAGUCUAAAUGUAAAAAUAGGGGAAAUGUGCAUACACAAUUAAAUGUCCAAUUCCAACAUAUUUUCAAUAAUAACUGAUAUGGUUCUGUAGGAAAGAUACAACUGUCACUGUCUCCACAGCAAACUGCACAUUGAGCCUCCAAGGGCUUGCAAAAUUAUUGUCCCAUGUGUUGUUCUUUUUAACAUUUUAAAAACAUAUUCUUCCUUCAAAGAGGAGGAUGAACUUGAAGAAGAGGGUCAUGAAGAAGAUGAGGCUCACGAAGCAAACCCUCUGCAACAAGAUAUCAGGCUGAAUUUGUUGUCAGAGAUGCCAUCGUGAAUGCAUUCUUUAAUGAGUAAUAUAGCCAAGUAGUUGUAGCAGCAGUAAUAUUAAAAAUAAAAUGUAUUAGUAGUAGAUAUUAAUAAUAAAAUGUAUUAAUAGUAGUAGCCUAGUAAUGUUAAUAAUAAAAUGUAGGCUAGUAGUUGCAAGUAAAAGUAAUGCUAUUUAUUAGUAGUGCUAUUUAUUAGUAGUAUUAAUAUUAUACAUGAAUGUAUUAGCUAUAUAUUUAUUAUUGGUGUUUUGUUAAUAUAUUUGUUCUUAAAAUUACAUAAUACAAAACUUUUCAGGUCUGUCGUAAAAUGUAUUAUUCGUCAAUUGAUAUAGAUGUUAUUUUCCCUUCACUGCAGAAGUUUGUUGUUAAGAAUGAA